rnacentral:lncRNA from 1 species
AUGUGUCUGUGUCUCUGCAACCCACAGCAUGGAUCCCUUUCGUCUCUGGGACCUAACCAAGUGUGCCCUCCCCAUCUCCAAAGAGCAAAGCUUUCCAGUAUUGCUGACAUCUGUUUUACUACUGCUUUCUGGAAUUACUGUAUUUAUUGCUAUUUUUUUGUCUUUCACAAAACAAGAAACAAUGUGUUAAAAAUUUUUUUGAGACAAUGCUAUUUAGUAUCUAUGUAUAUUCAAUCAUUACUAAAAAAAUUGAGUGCAUAAUACAUACAUACCAGGCCUCAUUACAUGUGUCUGAAAUGCCAUGAAGAAUAAAAUAAAAAUUCCUUAAUAUUCUGAGAUUGAGAGAUUGAUCAUAAACUAAUAGUUCCAUAAAGAAAUAUUGUUACAUGAUAUCAUGAUAAGCUCUAUGAGGAAAUACUAGAAAGGGAUGGAUAAAGAGAUGUGGCAGGUGUGCCUGUGAGUGUGUGUGUUUGUAUACAUAGGCAUCAAUGAAGCAGAGACUUGAUAAUGUGAAGGCUCAAGCCAUUGAUAAAUUUCAUGCAGGAACAAUAGAGAGAAAAGCAAGAGCAGAAAAGCAAGGAAGAAAGCAUGUGUGAACAACUACAAGAUCAGUGAGGUAGGCUCAUAGUGGCCGAAGAGGAGAAUAGAAAGAGAUGCAGUCACAGAGGUAGCGACAGGGCUGGUGAUGUCGACUCUUGAGUCCAUUGGAGAAAAUUGGUAUUUUAUUCUAAGAGGAGAAUUUUUAAAAUAGUGAGGGUUGGAACCUGAUUUAUACUUUUGAGAACACAUACUACAAACUUGGAAACAAGGUCAAAGGAUGACCAUGUGUGCUUUCAUUGCUAUAAAGUCGCCAAGGGGCCCUGUCAAGGAUGAUUGAAUUCCCUAGUGGAGCAUAACUUUGACAUUUUCUUCGCUUUUG